rnacentral:tmRNA from 1 species
CGGAUUGCGCCGGGGCGCCGGACAGCCUAUAUCUCCUGCGUCGGGCAACCGACUAUGGCGAUACACGGCUUGUGAAAUAAGCGUUGCGGACCCGGGGGCAGUACCCGGCGCCUCCACCAAUUUCCCGCCGGCCUGGCCGGCGGCUCUGCGGGGGCGAACCAGGCUCGACGCGCGUGGUAAAGGCAAGAUCCGUCGCCCGGCAUGAUUCCGCCGUUAUCGGGUCAUAAUCUAGCUGCGAACGACAACUUCGCACAAGAGGCGCUCGCGGCCUAACCCCUAGCGGGGUAAAAGCCUAGAGCAAAUCGCGGUUCGAGGGGCACCGGGCAACAGAAGCCCCUCACU